AUUAAGUAACACCCGAAAAUUGAGGUUUUUCCAAUUCCUUCGCCAUGUAAACCACCGCUGGCCGGCGGGUGUCUUUUAUUUCUUUAGAUUUUUAUGAUUCAUUGUAACUAAGGAGAGAAAUGCUUUCCGUAACUACAGAAAAUCUUUAAUUUUAGAAUUAUUGCAUUUGAAUUCCAUGUCCAUGGAAAAUUUUCUCCGGAUAUUUGGAAUUUUCUACUGAACAAGCUUCUGGUCGCUUCAAUUGGUGAAGAUGCAGCAGCCGCUGAAGCCGAACAUGAAGGGGUUUGCAUACUAAGGCUCUAGCCUUUGGAGGGAGAUUGGGAGGGCAUUCAAAUAAAGUACUUCCUCGUUUACAAACUUUUACCAACUUGCAGAAUCCUGACAAGAAUUUGUUUAUGGAAGAUUACUACAACAUUGAUGAUAUUCUUGCAAACCAGGAGAUUGACCAUGUAGCAAAUUGAGUUUCCUUUCCGUCUUGCUCUUGAGUAAAUACAAGAUUCAAGACAAACAUUGUAUUGGUUAGCAUUGCAUCUUGCUUUAAUCAAUUGUGAUUGAAGUUAAUUGUUUUAGUGGGUUAAUUUGUUGUUGCAUACUUGCAUUUUUUCUCAUGAUCAAAAGACAUUUUGUGUUAUUUGUUAUGAAAUUAACUCGUGAUUUGGUAAAUAAACCCUUACAUGACUGUCUGUACUGUAGUUCAUGCAACUUUCAUCUAAUUGUAAAUCUGAUAUUGUUUUCUUUUUUUGUUUAAAGUCUAAUCAGUUAACCAGAACAA